GACGAACGCUGGCGGCGUGCCUAACACAUGCAAGUCGGACGGGAUUUGGGGGCAACUCCAAGUUCAGUGGCAGACGGGUGCGUAACACGUGAGAAACCUGCCCAACGGUGGGGGACAGCCGGCCUAACGGCCGGGUAAUACCGCAUACGCUCGUUUGGGGGCAUCCCUGGGCGAGGAAAGCAGCCGCAAGGUUGCACCGAUGGAGGGUCUCGCGGCCUAUCAGCUAGUUGGCGGGGUAACGGCCCACCAAGGCGACGACGGGUAGCUGGUCUGAGAGGAUGGCCAGCCACAUUGGGACUGAGACACGGCCCAGACUCCUACGGGAGGCAGCAGUGGGGAAUAUUGCGCAAUGGCCGAAAGGCUGACGCAGCGACGCCGCGUGUGGGAUGACGG
rnacentral:rRNA from 1 species